GGCGCGAUGGCUGAGUGGUUAAAGCGACAGAUUCGAAUUAAGCAAUAGUUCCAAAAGUGCCAUUCAUCUGUUCCACUUUGUGGGCGUAGGUUCAAAUCCUGCUCGCGUCG